rnacentral:lncRNA from 1 species
GAUUAUCCAGCCGAGAUCAGUGUAAUCACAUGAUACUGUAUAAACAGAAGAUGCAGGCCAAAGAAAGUCAGAGAAAUGCAUUAGAAUAAGAGGGAGGAGAGAUACAGCAGAAGGUCUGUUGCUGCCAGUUGGAUGUGGAUGUUAAAUCCCCAUUGGGCCCCGCUGACAGUAGCAGUGGGGGAAAUUAUAGUGUCAACUCUGCUCACACCACAUUGUUCCUUCUUUUUGCUGCCAAUUGAGAGUGGAGGUUCAGCUACCUGCUAGUUCCUGCUGACACCUGGGACAGGCAGGAGGGACGUGGAGCGCUGAUUUGUUCUGACUAACACAGCUUCAUUAAGUCUCAUUGCUGCUGGGUGGGAGUUGAAGCUCAGCUUGCUGAAUCUUACUGAACAUGGAGUACCAGCUGAUUCUACUGGGUGGCGGGAUGGAAGACCAGCUCCCUACUCGGCUCCACCUAUAUUAACUUGGCUGGGCAAUCAGACCAUCACCUGCUUCUGCUAAGCAUGGAAUGGAAGAUCAGAUCUCCACUUGAUUAUACCAAUCCUACUCCACCAGGGGAACCAGAAUACUUCUGGCUGUUUCUGUGAGGUUGGGGGGAAUAUCAGCUCUCUGCUCAGGCCAGCUAAAACCAAAGAGUUGAGGGGCUGGCCCCGUGGCUGAGUGGUUAAGUUCGCGCGCUCCGCUGCAGGCAGCCCAGUGUUUCGUCAGUUCGAAUCCUGGGCACGGACAUGGCACUGCUCAUCAGACCACGCUGAGGCAGCGUCCCACAUGCCACAACUAGAAGAACCCACAACGAAGAAUACACAACUAUGUACCGGGGGGCUUUGGGGAGAAAAAGGAAAAAAUAAAAUCUUAAAAAAAAAAAAAAUAUAUACAGUUGAAAGCUACUUUAUUGUCUGCCCUCCCUGAUGCUUUUCCUCUAUCUCUAUCCAGAUUUACCCACUCUCCUGAAAUUAGUAUGCACCUUCUUAUCCAUAUUUUUUAAUGCAUGUAUUAUAUAGGUAUUUAUACAUAAAAUAUAGGAAUAUUGUAUGUCAAAUUUUCAUAUAUAAUAUCUUACUGUGAAUUCUCCAUAUCAGAUUUUUGAGAAAUGUUCAAUUAGUGAAAUUUGCCUAUGAUUUUCCUUUCUUAUAUUAUCCUUAUCUGAUGUUGUAAGGAGGUUGAAUUGGCUUCGUAAAAUGAGUCGGGCAUCUCUUCCUCAUGAUCUAUACCUUUAAGUAAUUUGUAUAGGAUAAUUUUUGUCCUUAGAAUGUUCAUAAAAAUAACCUGGUGCUUUAUUGUGGAUAGAUUUUUGAUUACUAAUUACAUUUUUAAAUGAUUAUAAAUCUCAUAUGGUUUUCUAUUUCUCCUUGUGUCAGUGUUGAUAAUUUUUCUUUUUCUAGAAAACAGCCCAUUUUCUUGCUGCUCUUUCCUAGACGUCCCUUUGUUAUAAGGACAAACUAUCAGAGUUACUCCUGAGGAUACUUUGCCCAAGCUGCUUUGUUCUCUCUUCCAUUUUCCCCCUACAUUCUUAUCACUGUGAAGUAUUUUUACCUUUGUUUUUAUAUUUGAUCUAAAAAAAUUGCCUGUAUAUUUAUUGCAUAUUUGUAUUAUUACUUAUUUUAUAGAAAGUUAUUUAAGUUAAAAAUAUUUUUAUGGGGCUCAUUACUGGUUAAUGGAAAAGUUUCCUAUCAGGCAUAACGUAGCCAGAGUUUCUGGUUUAAUAGUGAAUGAUAUUUGUACUUAAGUUAAUGUCUGAUAUAUAGACAAACAAAUGUAUAUAUGUGUAAGGGAGUAAUACUUAGAUAAUUAAAAUCUAUUUACAUGUGUAAAGCAUAGAAAAUUUUUCAGCAUAACUCUCAAUUUGUGCAACAGAUUAAAACAUAAUCAAGUUAUCUGUUCACUAAGAAAUUGGGAAAAUACAUUAUGAAAACCUAGUUAGACAAUAAGUUAUUUAUUGCAAUGUACAGUCAUACAAUCCUUCCAGAUGGCAAUUUACAUUUACAAAAUCAUU